GACGAACGCUGGCGGCGUGCCUAAUACAUGCAAGUAGAACGCUGAAGAGAGGAGCUUGCUCUUCUUGGAUGAGUUGCGAACGGGUGAGUAACGCGUAGGUAACCUGCCUUGUAGCGGGGGAUAACUAUUGGAAACGAUAGCUAAUACCGCAUAACAAUGGAUGACACAUGUCAUUUAUUUGAAAGGGGCAAUUGCUCCACUACAAGAUGGACCUGCGUUGUAUUAGCUAGUAGGUGAGGUAAUGGCUCACCUAGGCGACGAUACAUAGCCGACCUGAGAGGGUGAUCGGCCACACUGGGACUGAGACACGGCCCAGACUCCUACGGGAGGCAGCAGUAGGGAAUCUUCGGCAAUGGGGGCAACCCUGACCGAGCAACGCCGCGUGAGUGAAGAAGGUUUUCGGAUCGUAAAGCUCUGUUGUAAGUCAAGAACGGGUGUGAGAGUGAAAAGUUCACACUGUGACGGUAGCUUACCAGAAAGGGACGGCUAACUACGUG
rnacentral:rRNA from 1 species